AUCGAGUCUGGAAGUCCUGAAAUAAUUAGAAGAUUGGAAUUCAUGAUCUGAUUCAAUGGAAACAGUGGCCAAGAAAUUGGUUAAUGAUUUCAAACUUUUUAUUGGGAUAUAUGGCAGAAAGUUCAAUGCAGUCCAGUGACGGACAUAAAAGCUGUAAAAUACUGUUAGCAAAAGUUACACUCGACAAUGACAAACAACAUGUGGCAGAAAGUUCAAAGGGGUCCAGUGACGAACAUAAAAGUUCUAAUCUGUUGAUAGCAAAAGGUGCACUCAAAAUGAAUCUUUAAAUUUUCUGACAAGGAUCAACACACGUCAUUGUUCUAUUCAUUGGAAAUUAGUCAUUAAUUAUUCAGUUUCA